rnacentral:rRNA from 1 species
AUGUCUUUGCCUGUUCCUGUUGCUCCAUGGGAGGACAUCUCUAUGGACUUCGUCUUGGGUUUGCCAAGAACAAGACGAGGGAGUGAUGUCGUGUUUGUGGUCGUGGAUAGAUUCUCUAAGAUGGCUCAUUUCAUCCCAUGCCGCAAGACAACGGAUGCUCAUCAUGUGGCAAACCUAUUCUUCCGAGAAGUAGUCAGACUUCAUGGAGUUCCAAGGUCCAUUGUCUCAGACCGUGAUAGCAAGCUUCUUGCUGCAUUUUGGCUCACUUUGUGGAAGCAAUUCAGCACUGAAUUGAAAUUUUUCUUGCACUGCUCGUCCACAAACAAAUGGACAAACGGAAGUAGUGAACAAGUUUUUGGGUAA